CGCGUAGGCGGCUCGGUAAGUCUGGAGUGAAAUUCCUGCUUUCAAGGUGGGAACUGCUUUGGAUACUGUCGGGCUUGAGUGCAGGAGAGGUAAGUGGAAUUCCCGGUGUAGCGGUGAAAUGCGUAGAGAUCGGGAGGAACACCAGUGGCGAAGGCGACUUACUGGACUGUAACUGACGCUGAGGCACGAAAGCGUGGGUAGCAAACA
rnacentral:rRNA from 1 species